GGCAAAAUAGAAAGAACAUUGGAUUUUGAAUCAGAGAAUCUGGAUUCAAAUCCCAGCUUUGCCA
rnacentral:tRNA from 1 species